rnacentral:rRNA from 1 species
UAAGGAAUAUUGGUCAAUGGACGCAAGUCUGAACCAGCCAUGCCGCGUGAAGGAUGAAGGUCCUCUGGAUUGUAAACUUCUUUUAUCUGGGACGAAAACGGGAUUUUUAUCUCAAUUGACGGUACCAGAGGAAUAAGCACCGGCUAACUCCGUGCCUGCAGCCGCGGUAAUACGUAGGGGGCAAGCGUUGUCCGGAUUUACUGGGUGUAAAGGGCGCGCAGGCGGGAUAAAAAGUCAGUGGUGAAAUCCUACAGCUUAACUGUAGAACUGCCUUUGAUACUUUUAUUCUUGAGUUCGGGAGAGAGAGACGGAAUUCCAGGUGUAGUGGUGAAAUACGUAGAUAUCUGGAAGAACACCAGUUACGAAGGCGGUCUCUUGGUCCGACACUGACGCUGAGGCGCGAAAGCGUGGGGAGCAAACA